GUGACGGUACCUGUAUAAGAAGCACCGGCUAACUACGUGCCAGCAGCCGCGGUAAUACGUAGGGUGCGAGCGUUGUCCGGAAUUACUGGGCGUAAAGAGCUCGUAGGUGGUUUGUCGCGUCGUCUGUGAAAUUCCGGGGCUUAACUUCGGGCGUGCAGGCGAUACGGGCAUAACUUGAGUGCUGUAGGGGAGACUGGAAUUCCUGGUGUAGCGGUGAAAUGCGCAGAUAUCAGGAGGAACACCGAUGGCGAAGGCAGGUCUCUGGGCAGUUACUGACGCUGAGGAGCGAAAGCAUGGGUAGCAAACAGGAUUAGAUACCCUGGUAGUCCAUGCCGUAAACGGUGGGCGCUAGGUGUAGGGGGCUUCCACGUCUUCUGUGCCGUAGCUAACGCAUUAAGCGCCCCGCCUGGGGAGUACGGCCGCAAGGCUAAAACUCAAAGGAAUUGACGGGGGCCCGCACAAGCGGCGGAGCAUGUGGAUUAAUUCGAUGCAACGCGAAGAACCUUACCUGGGCUUGACAUACACUAGAUUGCUGCAGAGAUGUAGUGUCCCUUGUGGCUGGUGUACAGG
rnacentral:rRNA from 2 species